GGAGUUAGCCGGUGCUUCUUCUGUGAGUGAUGUCCUUCCUGCCGGCUAUUAACCCGCAGGCCUUCUUCCUCACUGAAAGUGCUUUACAACCCGAAGGCCUUCUUCACACACGCGGCAUGGCUGGAUCAAGGUUGCCCCCAUUGUCCAAUAUUCCCCACUGCUGCCUCCCGUAGGAGUCUGGGCCGUGUCUCAGUCCCAGUGUGGCUGAUCAUCCUCUCAGACCAGCUACGGAUCGUCGCCUUGGUGAGCCGUUACCUCACCAACCAGCUAAUCCGACAUAGGCUCAUCCGAUAGCGCGAGGCCCGAAGGUCCCCCGCUUUCCCCCGUAGGGCGUAUGCGGUAUUAGCCUGGGUUUCCCCAGGUUAUCCCCCACUACCGGGCAGAUUCCUAUGCAUUACUCACCCGUCCGCCGCUCGCCACCAGGGAGCAAGCUCCCCGUGCUGCCGCUCGACUUGCAUGUGUUAGGCCUGCCGCCAGCGUUCAAUCUGAGCCAGGAUCAAACUCUGA
rnacentral:rRNA from 1 species